rnacentral:rRNA from 1 species
GUGUCAGCAGCCGCGGUAAUACGUAGGCAGCAAGCGUUGUUCGGAGUUACUGGGCGUAAAGAGUGUGUAGGCGGUUUCGUAAGUUUGGUGUGAAAUCUCCCGGCUUAACUGGGAGGGUGCGCCGAAUACUGCGAGGCUCGAGUGCCGGAGAGGUAAGCGGAAUUCCUGGUGUAGCGGUGAAAUGCGUAGAUAUCAGGAGGAACACCGGUGGUGUAGACGGCUUACUGGACGGCCACUGACGCUGAGACACGAAAGCGUGGGUAGCAAACAGGAUUAGAUACCCUGGUAGUCCACGCCCUAAACGAUGCAUACUUGGUGUGAGCCAUUCAGUUGGUUCGUGCCGGAGCUAACGCGUUAAGUAUGCCGCCUGGGGAGUACGGUCGCAAGGCUGAA